rnacentral:rRNA from 1 species
UACGGAGGGUGCGAGCGUUGUCCGGAAUCACUGGGCGUAAAGGGCGCGUAGGCGGCGCGGAAAGUCGUCGGUGAAAGCUCGGGGCUCAACCCUGAGUCUGCCGGUGAUACUCCCGCGCUCGAGCUCACUAGAGGCAGAUGGAAUUCCGGGUUUAGCGGUGGAAUGCGUAGAGAUCCGGAAGAACACCGGUGGCGAAGGCGGUCUGCUGGGGUGAGGCUGACGCUGAUGCGCGACAGCGUGGGGAGCAAACAGG